rnacentral:lncRNA from 1 species
GUUUGAGAGACAACAUUUAUAUAAAAACACACACACCCUUAAACAGAGUCUGAAAGUGCAGUUAUAUUCUAAGAUUGUGUUGUCUUCCACUACAGGUAAACAAUCCCAGUGACAUGAUUCAUGUAUGCAGCAUCUCCUGGCCAGCAAUACGGUUAUCUGAGUGCUCAUCUCAGCCUUGUGUCCACUGUUCACAAUAGAAUACCUCAAGACCUAAAAAAGAGUCCCUCAUCCUUUUUGGGCCAGGAUAAGGAUCUUAGACCUUGUCCUUGGUGUGGUUUUGGACCAACUCUGUUUCUGUAAAGAAGACACCUUGUCUGCAUCAUCACAUGGCCACCAGAAAGCCAACUGACUGCCUCUGGCCUCCAUGCCUGUGUUUCUGUCCGCUUAGAGGACUGACUGACUGUUCUGAGACCUGUUGUCCCACAUUCCACUGAUUCAUUCCACAGCAGAACCAAGACGGAUUAGGAUGUUACAGGACAAAGAGAGACUGAUCUGUGAGUAGAGACUACAGCACCCACAAAGUAGAGACUACAGCACCCACAAAGCAUUGCGGCUUCCCUUACUGAGACUUGUAGGCCUACUUGCACUGCCUGCUUUUACUACUGUCUCAAGGUAAUUUUUUUCUGUGAGUUAAUGUUCUGUAAAUAC